UACGGGGGGAGCAAGCGUUGUUCGGAUUUACUGGGCGUAAAGGGCGGGUAGGCGGCCACCGCAAGUCGACUGUGAAAUCUCCGGGCUUAACCCGGAAAGGUCAGCCGAUACUGCGGGGCUAGAGUGCAGAAGGGGCAACUGGAAUUCUCGGUGUAGCGGUGAAAUGCGUAGAUAUCGAGAGGAACACCUGCGGCGAAGGCGGGUUGCUGGGCUGACACUGACGCUCAGACACGACAGCAUGGGGAGCGAACGGG
rnacentral:rRNA from 1 species